rnacentral:lncRNA from 1 species
CGCGAAAAUGGGGGUGGAUUGGACCCAACUACCACCAGAACUCGCCGAAUCAAUCUCCAAAAAGCUCACAAUCUACGCCGACUACCUCCGAUUCCGAGUUGUGUGUCACAGCUGGCGAGCCUCCGUCCCCAAAACCCCGCACCACCUCCCUCCCCAGCUCCCCUGGCUGAUGCUCCCCCAAUCCCAGCCCAACCAAUCCCACCGGGCCUUCUUCAACCUCUCCAACAGCAGAGUCCACUUCCUCCACCUUCCAGAAGCUUCUCACCGCAAGCGUCGCUGCGGCUCCUCCCACGGAUGGCUCGUCAUCCUCGACGAAACACCCUCCGUCCUCCUCGUUAACCCCCUCACGCGCGCCAGGCGCCACCUCCCUCCGCUCUCCACCUUCCCCGACGUUGUUCGAUUUGAUUACUCUGAAGUUGGCCGAGAAUACGCCCUCCGAUCCCCGUCUGGUGACGUCUACACGCGCAGCCUGACCCAAAUGCGCGAUUCGUUUCUGAAAAAGGUCGUCCUUUC